GCAAUCGGAUUGAUGAUAGCUCACCAGCGUAGGGACCGUAUUUUCAGCCAGAUCCGGCUGCCUGACGGCCCGUCUCAGAACGUGAUCGAUAUUAUAGUCAAUCCUAGCAUUUUCAGACAUUCUGGACACGUUCCAGGUGUCAAAAUUGACAUAGGUGAUCGAUGUCAACUAUUUUUCUGCAUCCAACAGCCAUAAUAAUCAUCGAUGUACUGUGAGUAAAAUAUUAAUUUUAAUUGUAAUUUCGAUAUUAUUAUAUGUUCAAGCAUGCCCAUGCAUCACUUAUAAAUAUGUAUUUAUGUAGUUAAAUACUAGGCACGUUUUUAUGUUGCAUUCAUAAUUGUUAAAAUGCCAUGGAUGUUGUUGUGGUAAUUUGAAGCAAUGUGCGUGAGUUGGCGUGCGUGUGGUAUGGUGUUGGUUAUGGACAGGACGGGUAGACACGGCUUGAGAUCUUCACUAGGACCUGGUCCUUCGGGGUAGACACGGCUUGAGUUCUUCGCUAGGACCCCGAUUUGGUUUAUUAAGCGAAAGUCCGUCUUGAGUUCUUCACUGGCACAGGUUGGAUUAAGAGGGCUGUAUAGGGGAUCAACUCCCAUAUAUGUAUUGUUUGACAGUGUUGGGUGUGUGAGUGCUCCAAAUUGCCUUUUUGAUGUGAUUUGUAUGAAAUUUAUGAUGAUGUUGCAUUUCACUU